UUGCUGGACCAGCGGGGCAGCCUUGAAAGAAGCGCGCUGGGCGGGGCGGAGCGUGCGUACUCCGUGUGCCUUGCCGCCCUGUGUGACAGUUGGGACACUGACCGCUUGAGAGAGAAACUUCGGCAGGCCGAGCGGAGAGAUUCUGUGGCUAUGAGGCGAGCGGGCGCCAGUACCUCAGAGAAGGUGUAGAGAGGUCCCCUGACCACUGCUGGGAUGCUAUCAAAUAUUCAGGGCCAAAGAAAACAUGAAGAUGAAAAAGAAGUACAUAAUAGCCUGUGUUUGGAAGCAUCUACUUGGUGAUGUUUAUUGAACAUCUACAGAAAUACCCAGAGGAUAGACUACCUGCCUUGGAACUGGCAUGGAGUUGUUCCUCUAGUAACUAGAGCAUGUGGAACACCAGCUUGGGGACAAGGUCCAUUCCUCUGUCAGCUAUGCUCUCAGCUCCAGCAUUAGCCAAGGAGGAGGAAUGGGAAGCGAGAGCUUCAGAUGAGGAGGAAGCUCUCUCCGCAGGCACAUGAGGGAGCCUGUCCUUCUCCCUUGCAGAAAGUCAUUGUGGCACAUGGACAAAGGAAGUAUUAAUAAGCUUUUCUAAAGAGGUACUUCUCUAAGAUUUGGUGUUUCACAGACCACAACCAGUGCUGUCCGUUCUACAGAUGGCCAACUUCUGCAUUUUGGGGAUGGGCUUCCGAAGAUAGAUCAACUUGCAUCCCUAAAGCAGAAGAUGCAGCUCUGGGUAAGGGAAUCAUCAGAGUCUCUAAGCCAGAGGUCAAAAGCUACUACCCACAGACUGGUCAGGGCCAAGAAAGACAACCCCCAAGUAGUCAUUAGAAAUAAUCGACUCCUUUGGAAUGAAGUUACAGCGAUGACAUUACAGCUUUAUGACAACCAGGGCUUCAUGGCAAAACCACUCUGAAAGGCACGGGCUGGGCAUUCCACUGCUGCGUGCUUUAGAACGUAGUCUGGCCCUGCCCUGCCCCCCACGUGCGGGCGACUUUCAGCUGGAAACUAUGCUUUCUAGGUGUUGACAUCUCCUUUGCAAAAUGCAAAUCCAGAGACUGAGGACAGAACCUUUCUUUGACUUCUUACAAGCCUGCAUCCAAGGAGAGGUGGGGAAGUCGUGAGUUUGCAGAGAUGCCCCCACUGCAUCGUUACCAGCUGUGCUCCACCACUGCCUGUAGAGCCUGCGGUCCUGGCCGGGGAUGUGGCGGCCACAGCUACACUGUCUGAAGGCUGUGCUUCCACAACUCAGUGUUUAAUUGCAAAGACCUUCCCAGGGUGAACGGUGUGACUAGGCUAAAAGCCUCUGUAUUAGUUUCCUAGCGCUGCCAUCAUUUGGCCUGAACUCGGUGGCCCAGGCACUGCCUGGCUUGUGGCUGCAUAACACCAAUUUCUGCCUCUGUUUUCAAGUGGACUCCUCUCCUCUCUGUCUCUCUCCUUGUCUAAGGACACUUGUCAUUGGAUUUAGGUCCCAUCCAGAUAAUCUGGGAUGAUUUCAUCUCAAGACCCUUAACCUACUUAAAACUGCAAAGAUUCUUUUUCUGAAUAAGGUCAGGAUUUCAACAUAUCUUCUGUGGGGAUACAGUUCAACCCAGUACAGCCUCCAAAUAGGGAAGGAGAGAGGGACACACAAAAUCCUAUCUACCCUUAAACCCCAAGUCAAAUGCCAUUGUAUCUAGGAGACAUUGCCACUUCCCAUCACCUAGAUACAGUCUCCACUGGGCCGUCUGGGUAUCCCCGUACUGCCCAUGAGUUCUCGCCUAACUUCUAGACCAACUGCAUGAGGGUUCCCUAAGGGUCUUGUUAAAAAUAUAAAUUUCUGAGGCCCUUUGGGAGCCAUGGCUUCGGUGUAGACAUGUCCAGGUUCAAAAAUCACCACUCACAACCAGUCCUGAAAAUGACACAAAAGGCAUCAAAAAACCCUGAUCACAAAGAUAUGAAUCUCUUAAUGGGGUCGACCUCAGGUUCCUGAGGAACAUGUGCUUUGCCAAAAAGCAUAACAAGAAGGGCCCGAAGAAGAUGCAGCCCAACAAUGCCAAGGCCAUGAUUGCAUGUGCCAAGGCUAUCAAGGCCCCCAUAAAGCCCAAGGAGGUCAAGCUUAAGCUCUCAAAGAACAGCAGCCACAAACUCAAUUGAGUUGUUUAUAUCACUCAUCCCAAGCUUGGGGAAAAUGUUCAUGCCUGCCUUGCCAAAGGUCUUCAUCUCUGCUGGCCAAAGGCCAAGGCCAAGGCUCAAAUCAAGACCCAGGCUGUGGCUGCAGCUGUGUCUGUGACUGUGGCUCCAGCUCAGGUUCAGGCUUCCAAACGUGCCCAGGCCCCUAUGACGGCUUCCAGAGUAGAGGCCUCUGUCUGUUGAUGUGAGGAUAGAAGAACUGGUAUGGUGCCUGGGCUGCUGUCUACGUGGGCUGGGUCUUCCUGUGCUGUUUGUACAAAUAAACCUGAGGCACGAUCUGUCAGUCAAAAAACCCCAGAAAAACAAAACCCCACACAUUUCUGUCCUCCAUGCUCCAGCUCCUGCCACUGCCACUGCUGCCCGCGUCGGGCUCUCUGGGCGUGGGACCCUGGCACGGGCAUCUUAGGUCACCUCCCUGGGAGAUUCUGACGCACCCGAGGUGUCAGAAGCCCCGUGCCAGGCUGUGAGCCCCACAGCCAGUUCUCACAUGUGCCCCUAGAUGUCUUACAUUCAUUGCAGCUGGUGAGAGGCGGCACGGAAGUGUGCAGCCCUGGGGUCAGAAUGCCUGCGUUGUCCUACUCGCUCACCGUAACUUCAGGCGAGUGACCUGCACUGUCUGUGCCUCAUGUAAAUGGGAAUAAAUAUAGUGUCUACCUCAAAAGGUGGUGGUCAGAAUCCAAAGAAAUAAAGCAUAUAAAACACUUAGAACAGUGUCUGGCAUAUAGUAGGCCUUCAGUAAAUUUAAGCUGUUAGGAAGUCGACCAGACUGGCAGUUGCUUAUAUUUUCACUGUGUUCCUAGAACCCUCCCUCCCAGGAACAUACCUUGAUUUUUCCACCGUCAUCAGCCUUUGCUGUCUGCACAUGUGCUGAGUACUUCUUUAUCAUACCCUAACAGACCAUCUUAAGUUCCAUUUUAAAAUGGCCCUUUUUAUAAGGAGAACAAAGUGUAGGUAAGGGGUUUGGAAUUCAGGGAAAAGUUAAUUGUAUUAAAAAAAAAACAACUUCAGCAUUCUCACCCUGGGCGGUGGUCUUUAGCUAUGUCCUGGGCGGUGGUCACCUCACCUGGAGCACAAUGGCUCAGAUACCAUCUUGAAUUGCUUGCAGUCCUCCUGAGGCUCAAAGGUGGAAUAGCUAAUGGUCUCCUGGAGUCAGGGUGGGUCACACCUUCAGUUCCUGGAACAAAAGCUUUUACGUGCAUCAAUUACUAAGCUUAUUAGCUAUUACGUAAACUAAAAUUCUCCAACUCUUAAGUCCCCUAUCAUAAGGACACUGAGGGUCAAACAGGUUAAGUAGCUAACCCAAAGUCCCUCAGCCCGUGCAUGGUGAAGUGGGGACGUGAACUAUGGGCUCGGUUCCCGCUGUCGCUGCCAUCCCACACUCCCACUGCCACCCCCGACGGCAUCCCACGCACCGUUGUCAGGCCCUGCUGUUAUACCCAGCUAGGAAAAUUACAGCUAGGGCAUUACCCAACCCUAAAUCUGCAGUUCCUGGAACAGGGUAAUGAACAAACAUCCGGGAACAAUUGGGUUUAAAAUUCUAGCCAAAUAAGGUAACUAACCCGGCCGCCAGAAAGUGCCCGCCAGCAGCAGCACCCACCAAUCAGGGACCCUCGCCGUUUUUAAAUAAGCCAAUAGCUAACCGCCACCUCUGCUUCUGUAUGCCUUUGCUUGCUUGCUAGAAAAUAUAAAUACCCAGUAGUCUGUAAGCCAGGCGCGACUUCCAUUUUGUAGCUCUGAGUAGCUACGUGACUCCGGUCACCGUUGGGGAAGUUCGCCCCUGUGCAGGAAAAAUCUUUGGCCAUUAAAAUUUUUAUCAAUUCGGUUCCGGGCUCCAAGAGUGUGUAUUU